rnacentral:rRNA from 1 species
AAAACGAUGUGAAGAUACGUAGACAACCAGGAUGUUGGCUCAGAAGCAGCCACACAUUCAAAGAGUGCGUAAUAGCUCACUGGUCGAGCGUCUUUGCGCGGAGAAUUUAACGGGGCUAAACCUGACACCGAAGCUUAGGCAAUACAGCAAUGUAUUGGGUAGGGGAGCGUUGUAUACGCGGUGAAACAGUAGCGCAAGCGGCUGUGGAGUGUAUAGAAGUGAGAAUGCCGGAAUGAGUAGCGCGAAUGCAGUGAGAAUCUGCAUGGCCGAAAGCCUCAGGUUUCUGGAGGAAGGUUCGUCCGCUCCAGGUUAGUCGGGAGCUAAGGUGAGGCCUAACGGCGUAGCCGAUGCACAGACGGUAGAGAUUCCGUCACCACCAAAAGAGUUAAACACAGGGACACAUUUGAAGUCUCGGAGCCGGGUGUUGGUUCCGGUAGCGAUCGAGGGAAAUUAGUACCGAAGUCCGGGAUGGAAGAUGGCGAGAAAAGCUGUGUGUAUUUCUGCGGUGCCCGUACCGCAAACCGACACAGGUAGGUAGGAAGAAGAUUCUAAGGCCAACGGGAGAAGGGUUGUUAAGGAACUCGGCAAAUUGACCCCGUAACUUCGGGAGAAGGGGUGCUCCAGAGAUGGAGCCGCAGAGAAUCGGCCCAAGCAACUGUUUACCAAAAACACAGGUUUGUGCUAAAUCGAAAGAUGACGUAUACGAGCUGACGCCUGCCCGGUGCUGGAAGGUUAAGAGGAGAUGUGCAAGCAUUGAAUCGAAGCCCCAGUGAACGGCGGCCGUAACUAUAACGGUCCUAAGGUAGCGAAAUUCCUUGUCAGGUAAGUUCUGACCCGCAUGAAAGGCGUAAUGAUUUGGGCACUGUCUCAACAGCCCGCCCGGCGAAAUUGUAGUACCGGUGAAGAUGCCGGUUACCCGCGACAAGACGGAAAGACCCCAUGGAGCUUUACUGUAGCCUAAUAUUGGGUUUCGAUGUUGCAUGCACAGGAUAGAUGGGACACAGGGAAACAAUCGCUUUGGCGGUUGCGGAGUGGCCGUUGGGAUACCAUCCUUGCGAUAUUGGAAUUCUAACCUGCGGCUCUGAAUCGAGUCGGGGGACAUUGUUAGGUGGGCAGUUUGACUGGGGCGGUCGCCUCCUAAAGAGUAACGGAGGCGUUCAAAGGUUCGCUCAGCUUGAACGGAAAUCAAGCAAAAGAGUGCAAACGCAGAAGCGAGCCUAACUGCGAGACUGACGGGUCGAGCAGUAACGAAAGUUGGAGUUAGUGAUCCGGUGGUAUGUGAGUGGAAAUGCCAUCGCUCAACGGAUAAAAGUUACCCUGGGGAUAACAGGCUGAUCUCCCCCAAGAGUCCACAUCGACGGGGAGGUU